rnacentral:rRNA from 1 species
GGGAAACCGGAGCUAAUACCGGAUAAUAUAUUGAACCGCAUGGUUCAAUAGUGAAAGACGGUUUUGCUGUCACUUAUAGAUGGAUCCGCGCCGCAUUAGCUAGUUGGUAAGGUAACGGCUUACCAAGGCAACGAUGCGUAGCCGACCUGAGAGGGUGAUCGGCCACACUGGAACUGAGACACGGUCAAG